CUCCCGUUGAUCCCGCCGACCCCGACUGCUAUCAGAGUGGGACUAAGCCAUGCGAGUCAACGUAGCAAUACGUGGCAUACGGCUCAGUAACACGUAGUCAACAUGCCCAGGGGACGAGGAUAACCUCGGGAAACUGAGGAUAAACCUCGAUAGGCCAUGAUUUCUGGAAUGAUUCUUGGCUCAAACCUAUAUGGCCCCUGGAUUGGACUGCGGCCGAUCAGGCUGUUGGUGAGGUAAUGGCCCACCAAACCUAUUACCGGUACGGGCUCUGAGAGGAGGAGCCCGGAGAUGGGCACUGAGACAAGGGCCCAGGCCCUAUGGGGCGCAGCAGGCGCGAAACCUCUGCAAUAGGCGAAAGCUUGACAGGGUUACUCUGAGUGAUUUCCGCUAAGGGAAUCUUUUGGCACCUCUAAAAAUGGUGCAGAAUAAGGGGUGGGCAAGUCUGGUGUCAGCCGCCGCGGUAAUACCAGCACCCCGAGUGGUCGGGACGAUUAUUGGGCCUAAAGCAUCCGUAGCCGGUCCUGCAAGUCUUCCGUUAAAUCCAGCUGCUCAACAGAUGGGCUGCGGGAGAUACUACAGGGCUAGGAGGCGGGAGAGGCAAGCGGUACUUUAUGGGUAGGGGUAAAAUCCGCUGAUCCAUAGAAGACCACCAGUGGCGAAGGCGGCUUGCCAGAACGCGCUCGACGGUGAGGGAUGAAAGCUGGGGGAGCAAACCGGAUUAGAUACCCGGGUAGUCCCAGCUGUAAACGAUGCAGACUCGGUGAUGGGUUGGCCUCGCGCCUGCCCAGUGCCGCAGGGAAGCCGUUAAGUCUGCCGCCUGGGGAGUACGGUCGCAAGACUGAAACUUAAAGGAAUUGGCGGGGGAGCA
rnacentral:rRNA from 1 species